UGAGUACGAGCUGCUACGGCAGCGAAGUGGGUGAUGUCAAGCUUCCAAGAAAAGCCCUAUACCCGUUAAGGCAUGAUGGCCUGUACCCGAAACCGACACAGGUGGGGUGGUAGAGAUACCGAGGGGCGCGAGAUAACUCUCUCUAAGGAACUCGGCAAAAUGGCCCCGUAACUUCGGGAGAAGGGGUGCCACCGCAAGGUGGCCGCAGUGAAGAGGCCCAGGCGACUGUUUACCAAAAACACAGGUCUCCGCUAAGUCGCAAGACGAUGUAUGGGGGCUGACGCCUGCCCAGUGCCGGAAGGUUAAGGAAGCUGGUCAGCGUAAGCGAAGCUAGCGACUGAAGCCCCGGUGAACGGCGGCCGUAACUAUAACGGUCCUAAGGUAGCGAAAUUCCUUGUCGGGUAAGUUCCGACCCGCACGAAAGGCGUAACGAUCUGGGCGCUGUCUCGGAGAGAGGCUCGGCGAAAUAGAAUUGUCUGUGAAGAUGCGGACUACGUGCACCCGGACAGAAAGACCCUAUGAAGCUUUACUGUAGCUUGGUAUUGUGCCCGGGCACUGAAUGCGCAGGAUAGGUGGGAGGCUUUGAUCCAUUGCUUGUGGGUGAUGGUGAGCCAACGGUGAGAUACCACUCUUUCAGAGCUAGGGUUCUAACGGUCACCCGUCAUCCGGGGACCGGACAGUAUCAGGUGGGCAGUUUGACUGGGGCGGUCGCCUCCUAAAAGGUAACGGAGGCGCGCAAAGGUUUGCUCAGGCUGGUUGGAAACCAGCCGACGAGUGUAAAAGCAGAAGCAAGCUUGACUGUGAGACCUACAAGUCGAACAGGGACGAAAGUCGGCUUUAGUGAUCCGACGGUUCUGAGUGGAAGGGCCGUCGCUCAACGGAUAAAAGUUACUCUAAGGAUAACAGGCUGAUCUCCCCCAAGAGUUCACAUCGACGGGGAGGUUUGGCACCUCGAUGUCGGCUCAUCGCAACCUGGGGCUGAAGUCGGUCCCAAGGGUUGGGCUGUUCGCCCAUUAAAGCGGUACGCGAGCUGGGUUCAGAACGUCGUGUGACAGUUCGGUCCAUAUCCGGUGCAUGCGCAGGAAUAUUGAGAGGAUUUCUCCCUAGUACGAGAGGACCGGGAGGAACGCACCUCUGGUGUGCCAGUUAUCGUGCCAACGGUAAACGCUGGGUAGCCAUGUGCGGAGAGGAUAACCGCUGAAAGCAUCUAAGUGGGAAGCCCACCUCAAGAUGAGUAUUCCCAUGGCGUUAGCCAGUAAGGUCACGGGCAGAACACCCGUUGAUAGGCUCUACGUGGAAGCCGGGUAACCGGUGAAGCGGAGGAGUACUAAUAGACCGAGGGCU
rnacentral:rRNA from 1 species